rnacentral:rRNA from 1 species
GUCGAGAAUAAUUCACAAUGGACGAAAGUCUGAUGGUGCAACGCCGCGUGGAGGAUGAAGGUCUUCGGAUUGUAAACUCCUGUCAUCGGGGAGUAAGACCUGGCGGUAAAUAGCCGACAGGGUUGAUAGUACCCGAAGAGGAAGGGACGGCUAACUUCGUGCCAGCAGCCGCGGUAAUACGAAGGUCCCAAGCGUUGUUCGGAAUCACUGGGCGUAAAGGGAGCGUAGGCGGCGUGGUAAGUCAGAUGUGAAAUCCCGGGGCUCAACCCCGGAACUGCAUCCGAUACUGCCAUGCUUGAGGGUUGGAGAGGUAGCUGGAAUUCUCGGUGUAGCAGUGAAAUGCGUGGAUAUCGAGAGGAACACUCGUGGCGAAGGCGAGCUACUGGACAACAUCUGACGCUGAGGCUCGAAGGCCAGGGGAGCAAAAGGGAUUAGAAACCCUUGUAGUCC